GAUGAACGCUGGCGGCGUGCCUAAUACAUGCAAGUCGAGCGAAUUGACAGAGGUGCUUGCACCUCUCGAUUUUAGCGGCGGACGGGUGAGUAACACGUGGGUAACCUACCUAUAAGACUGGGAUAACUUCGGGAAACCGGAGCUAAUACCGGAUAAUAUUUAGCUUCGCAUGAAGCAAUAGUGAAAGACGGUUCUGCUGUCACUUAUAGAUGGACCUGCGGUGUAUUAGCUAGUUGGUGAGGUAACGGCUCACCAAGGCAACGAUACAUAGCCGACCUGAGAGGGUGAUCGGCCACACUGGGACUGAGACACGGCCCAGACUCCUACGGGAGGCAGCAGUAGGGAAUCUUCCGCAAUGGACGAAAGCCUGACGGAGCAACGCCGCGUGAGUGAAGAAGGUUUUCGGAUCGUAAAACUCUGUUGUAAGGGAAGAACAAGUACGUUAGUAACUGAACGUACCUUGACGGUACCUUACCAGAAAGCCACGGCUAACUACGUG
rnacentral:rRNA from 1 species